UACCUUUCAGUGGGGGAUAACGUAGCGAAAGUUACGCUAAUACCGCAUAUUCUGUGAGCAGGAAAGCAGGGGAUCGCAAGACCUUGCGCUGAUUGAGCGGCCGAUGUCAGAUUAGCUAGUUGGUGAGGUAAAGGCUCACCAAGGCGACGAUCUGUAGCGGGUCUGAGAGGAUGAUCCGCCACACUGGAACUAGACACGGUCCAGACUCCUACGGGAGGCAGCAGUGGGGAAUUUUGGACAAUGGGGGCAACCCUGAUCCAGCCAUGCCGCGUGAGUGAAGAAGGCCUUCGGGUUGUAAAGCUCUUUCGGCCGGGAAGGAAUCGUAUGGGUUAAUACCCUGUGCGGAUGACGGUACCGGCAUAAGAAGCACCGGCUAACUACGUGCCAGCAGCCGCGGUAAUACGUAGGGUGCGAGCGUUAAUCGGAAUUACUGGGCGUAAAGCGUGCGCAGGCGGUUUUGUAAGACAGGCGUGAAAUCCCCGGGCUCAACCUGGGAACUGCGCUUGUGACUGCAAGGCUAGAGUACGGCAGAGGGGGGUGGAAUUCCACGUGUAGCAGUGAGAUGCGUAGAGAUGUGGAGGAACACCAAUGGCGAAGGCAGCCCCCUGGGUCGAUACUGACGCUCAUGCACGAAAGCGUGGGUAGCAAACAGGAUUAGAUACCCUGGUAGUCCACGCCCUAAACGAUGUCAACUAGGUGUUGGGUGGGUAAAACCAUUUAGUGCCGGAGCUAACGCGUGAAGUUGACCGCCUGGGGAGUACGGCCGCAAGGUUAAAACUCAAAGGAAUUGACGGGGACCCGCACAAGCGGUGGAUGAUGUGGAUUAAUUCGAUGCAACGCGAAAAACCUUACCUACCCUUGACAUGUCCAGAAGCCUGAAGAGAUUUAGGUGUGCCCGAAAGGGAGCUGGAACACAGGUGCUGCAUGGCUGUCGUCAGCUCGUGUCGUGAGAUGAUGGGUUAAGUCCCGCAACGAGCGCAACCCUUGUCGUUAAUUGCCAUCAUUUAGUUGGGCACUUUAACGAGACUGCCGGUGACAAACCGGAGGAAGGUGGGGAUGACGUCAAGUCCUCAUGGCCCUUAUGGGUAGGGCUUCACACGUCAUACAAUGGUCGGUACAAAGGGUUGCCAAGCCGCGAGGUGGAGCCAAUCCCAGAAAGCCGAUCGUAGUCCGGAUUGCGGGCUGCAACUCGCCUGCAUGAAGUCGGAAUCGCUAGUAAUCGUGGAUCAGCAUGUCACGGUGAAUACGUUCCCGGGUCUUGUACACACCGCCCGUCACACCAUGGGAGCGGGUUCCGCCAGAAGUAGGUAGCCUAACCGCAAGGGGGGCGCUUACCACGGCGGGGUUCGUGACUGGGGUGAAGUCGAAACAAGGUA
rnacentral:rRNA from 1 species